CCUAUUUAUCCUCGCCGAACCCCUCUUCUUCCCCUACCCGCCGAGCCUUUCCCCGAUCCAUCGUCGCCCCUUUUUCCUCCUCUCCCUCUCGCGACACCUCUUCUCCCCCGAGUACAAAAGCCAUCGGCGAAGGAAGGCUUCAAGCCUUCCCCUUGAGUCGAUCCCCUUUUCUCUUCCCAUCCUCUUCCCCUACUCGCUCCACCACCCAACGCGCGAAUCGGCGCUAGCCGAUCGUCAGCCACCGGAGGCUUGAGCCUUCCAUCUUUCUCCACCUCACACCGACUCCCUUCUGAUCUCCCUGUGCGUUGCUGCCGACCACCAUGGAACCAUGACUAGUCGUCGCAGCCUGAAGCCCGACUGCCACAACCCGACACCGGUCGCCAGCCACCCGAUCUCCUCUCGCCAAAAGCUGAGCACCCCAGGUCCUCCCAUAUUCUGUGCUAUAGCCCUCCCAAUCUCUCUCUCUCGGGCAUGAAGCUGUGCCCCUUCCUCCUCCGACAGUGAACCAAUAGGGAGGGCAUCCGAAAUUUGGAGGUAAUUGGAUUGCUGCUGGAACAGAAGAAUCAGAGGAGGUGUUUAGAUGGCUUUCAGAAUAGCUAGUUUGCUUCCGGAAGAGUAGGGGAUUGGUGGAGAAGAUUUGACAUUAGGGUUGAGGUUGUCAGGAGGUUCCAGUCGCUAGUCCCCCACCUCGUGUAGAUAUGAUUUUCUACUUUUAGACUUUGUUUUCUUGUUUGUUAAUCUACAUGCGUGUGAUAUGUAGAUCUUUUACUUGUGGAUGUUAUAUCGAGUUUUGGUCUACUACACUUGUUUUUCGCUGCGAUGGUUUUAUGUUGUGGGUUGUAUUUUUCUCGAGUAGUGGAGUAGGUUUUAUAAUAAACUGCUUGUUGUGAUUUGUUAUGUAGUUAACCAGAGGCUGAUUUAUUAUAAACUGCGUGGAUUGCUUGUUUA